rnacentral:rRNA from 1 species
GACGAACGCUGGCGGCGUGCUUAACACAUGCAAGUCGAACGGAAAGGCCCUGCUUUUGUGGGUUGCUCGAGUGGGGAACGGGUGAGUAACACGUGAGUAACCUGCCCUUGACUUUGGGAUAACUCCAGGAAACUGGGGCUAUAACCGGAUAGGAGCUCUUGCUGCAUGGGGGGGGUUGGAAAGUUUCGGCGGUUGGGGAUGGACUCGCGGCUUAUCAGCUUGUUGGGGGGGUAGGGGCUUACCAAGGCUUUGACGGGUAGCCGGCCUGAGCGGGUGACCGGCCACAUUGGGACUGAGAUACGGCCCAGACUCCUACGGGAGGCAGCAGUGGGGAAUAUUGCACAAUGGGCGGAAGCCUGAUGCAGCAACGCCGCGUGCGGGAUGACGGCCUUCGGGUUGUAAACCGCUUUCGCCUGUGACGAAGCGUGAGUGACGGUAAUGGGUCAAGAAGCACCGGCUAACUACGUG